rnacentral:rRNA from 1 species
AUUGAACGCUGGCGGCAUGCUUUACACAUGCAAGUCGAACGGUAACAGGGUGCUUGCACCGCUGACGAGUGGCGAACGGGUGAGUAAUGCGUCGGAACGUGCCGAGUAGUGGGGGAUAACGCAGCGAAAGUUGUGCUAAUACCGCAUACGUACUGAGGUAGAAAGUGGGGGACCUUCGGGCCUCACGCUAUUCGAGCGGCCGACGUCUGAUUAGCUAGUAGGUGAGGUAAAGGCUCACCUAGGCGACGAUCAGUAGCGGGUCUGCGAGGAUGAGCCGCCGCACUGGGACUGAGACACGGCCCAGACUCCUACUGGAGGCAGCAGUGGGGAAUUUUGGACAAUGGGCGAAAGCCUGAUCCAGCCAUGCCGCGUGUCUGAAGAAGGCCUUCGGGUUGUAAAGGACUUUUGUCAGGGAGGAAAUCCCUAGUGCUAAUAACACUGGGGGAUGACAGUACCUGAAGAAUAAGCACCGGCUAACUACGUGCCAGCCGCCGCUGUAA